CUACGUGCCAGCAGCCGCGGUAAUACGGAAGGUCCAGGCGUUAUCCGGAUUUAUUGGGUUUAAAGGGAGCGUAGGCUGGAGAUUAAGUGUGUUGUGAAAUGUAGACGCUCAACGUCUGAAUUGCAGCGCAUACUGGUUUCCUUGAGUACGCACAACGUUGGCGGAAUUCGUCGCGUAGCGGUGAAAUGCUUAGAUAUGACGAAGAACUCCGAUUGCGAAGGCAGCUGACGGGAGCGCAACUGACGCUUAAGCUCGAAGGUGCGGGUAUCAAACAGGAUUAGAUACCCUGGUAGUCCGCACAGUAAACGAUGGAUGCCCGCUGUUGGUACCUGGUAUCAGCGGCUAAGCGAAAGCAUUAAGCAUCCCACCUGGGGAGUACGCCGGCAACGGUGAAACUCAAAGGAAUUGACGGGGGCCCGCACAAGCGGAGGAACAUGUGGUUUAAUUCGAUGAUACGCGAGGAACCUUACCCGGGCUUGAA
rnacentral:rRNA from 1 species